AAUUAAAGGGGUUAUUAAGGAAACUAUUCAAAUUUAUAAAUAAGGAGGCUUAUUGCCAAAAUUUUCUAAAUUAAAUUUUCAUUUAUAAUUUUAGGCGCAGCCAGUAAAUGAAAAAUUUAAUUUUUUAAUAGAAAAAAAUCCUAAGGUAAACCAAAUUUAUUAAUUACUUCCUGAAGUAAAACAUUUUAUUAAGGAAAGGAAAGGAAAUCAACCGAGACUCCGAAAGUAAUGGUGAGUGAAAUCGGAACAGCCUAAAUUAUAUUAUAAAAUUGAAAUCUAAAAUAGGUAAAAAUCAUUAGUCCUGUAAAUUUUAUAAGUAAUGAACUCUAAAUAAUAAUAAAAAGUAAAAAAUUUAAACAAAUUUUUGUUAAAGUUAAUUUGUUUGAAAAUUUGAGAGGCCGCCUGUCCAUCCCGUGCCUAACCAAUAAGUUAGAAACGUGGUAUUUUGGUAGUUUGCUUCUCGCCAAUAAAAGCCUGCGCUGCAUGCUAGGCUAAUACAAAUAUUCUUAUUUAACUGGAAGGAAUAACUAAGUACAAUGAGUGUAAACUUGUUGGAAAACAGGGGAACCAUCCUCUAAGGCUAAGUAUUAUAAAUUUAGUGAUAGUGAAAAGUACUGUAAAGGAAAAGAAUGAAAAAGACAAGUGGUAAACAAUGUGUUGAAAUAGAUAUGAAUUAGUAACUCUAUAAGCAGUCGAAAUUCUAAACAUUCAAUGAAUAACGGCGUACCUUUUGCAUAAUGGGUCAGCAAGUUAAUAAGAGUAGCAAGGUUAAAAGCCCUAGCGAAAGCGACUAAACUAUCAAAUUAAAUAUAAAAUAAACUAACAAAUAAAAUUUAAACAAUCAAUCUUUCUAAUGAAAAUAAAUAUUUAAUUAUAAUGUAGUGUUGGAUUAGUUACUUUUAUUAGACCCGAAGCCAGGUGAUCUUACCUAGACCAGAUUAUAAUGGAUCGAACGGGUGAAUGUUGCAUUAUUCUCCGAUGAGUUUAGGUAAGCGGUGAAAUGCCAAUCUGACCUGGUGCUAUCUGGUUUUCUACCGAAACAUAUUUUAGUAUGACAUCUACAAAAGGAGAUUUAUGGAGGUACAGAAAGGCAAUUCCAAACAAAAAAAAGAGUUUAAUAAGUUAUAUUAUUUAUUACAUUCAUAAAUCUUUUUGGCGUUUAGGUUGAGGGGAUGUUAAAAUCUUACCUUUGGAAGCGAAACUCGAAAUUACAUAAAUUGAUAGUAGAUAUUCAGACUGCUCAUGCUAAGUUGAGUAGUCAAGACGGAAACAGCCGAGAACACAGAUCAAGGUCAAUCGAACUAUAAAUAUAAAAUUAAUUAUAUUAAUAGGGCCUAAUCUAGUUAAUUAAAUUUAACAGAUUCCAAAUUUACUAUUUACAAUGACCCUCUAAAAUAUUAAUAGAUAUUAUUAUCUCAUAACUUCAUAUUUGAUAAUUCUAAUAUUAUCUACUGCAGAUGCAGUAGUGGUAACCUAAUUCGUAUAAAAUUAGGCACUAGAAUUAAUAGAGAAAAUUGUAGGGUACAAUCUAAACGAUUGAGAAAAAUUAUAUAAAUUAACCCCUCAACGAAUUUCCUGUGCGCAAGGCUAGGAGUGCAGCAAGUUGCAGAAGUUGCCGGGCUGAUAUAGUUAAUAUUAGUCUAAAUAUGUUAAAUUUAAUUUUGCCCAAAUAGAUUGUUAAGUGAAAAUCAAGGACGUGACAAAAUCUUAUACAGUUGUGAAGUGAGCUUGGUAGUCGCUACUUAUAAUGAUCGUAUGUAACAACGCAUCAACAGUUUUAGCUUUGUUACGCCGAAAAUUUAACGGGUCUUAAACAAUCAACCGAUAUCGUGUUGAUAUUGAAUUUAUAAAUUUUACCCUUCCUAUUAAAAGUUAAACCCCAACCUUCCCACUACUAUAUCUUUGUAAAAGUGGGUAGAAAAGGGUUGUCGUUAACGCUAGGGCUAAAUGUUUAUUCUUUAUCUAGGUAGUAGAACAUUCAGUCAAUCUAUUCAUAAAAUAGUGUUUCAUUAUUUUUUAGGCAACUGAAGAGAGAAUGCUGACAUGAGUAACGUAAAAGAAGAAUAUAAUUCUUCUCGCCGAAAACGAAAGGGUUACAAUAAAAGGUUAAAUCAUUUUGUGUUAAUGCGGCCUCUAAGGACUAUAACCAAAGUUAUGGCUGAUGAGUAUAUUAUAGAAAGUCCAAAAUAAAAUUUUAUUGGGACCAAGAAAAUAAUAUUUGUUUUAGGCUAAUUUUAUUUAUUUAUUUGAUUAAUUAAAAUUAGUUAAUCUUUAAAAUAGUCGGCCUUACUUGUUCAAAAGUAGGUAGACACAAUUAUUUAGUUAAUAUUUGAUAAGGAAAGAAAGGGCUAGUAUGUAGAACCGUAAAUGCCCACUCUCCAUCCUUUCAUCGUUAUUUAAAGUUGGAAGGAUAAAAAUAAUGGACUUUAUUAAAUUUAUAAUAAAGCGGUGUAUAUAAUUACCUUGCACCAAUUUAAGGAGUUAAUUUUAUUUUACUUAAUCCCAAAGUAUAAAAAAAGUAUUAAAUUAACACUCUCGCUUUGCUGCGUUUGGUUAAUUUUUUAGUUGUCAUAUAAAUAAAAUUAUUAGUUUAAAUUUUAAGCCUUACUCUCUUCCACUUCUACCGCCACAUAAAAGUUCUGCCACUGUCUUUUCGAAAAGGGAGAGUGAGCGAUUGGUGUUGUUCAUUUAAGGAUAAAAGGGGUAGGGUGAGUAAGGGUCUUCAGUUAAGUAGGAAGUUAACCUGCUUCUUAAUGGUUUUUUGAAUAUUGAGGAUAAAUUACUAAACCGAAUUUAGAAACUUAAAUUUUAACUAAUUAUUACCUUAAUUUAUUCUUAUUUUUAAUUAAAUCAUAACUAAUAAAAAGACUAAGAUAAAUAUCAUAUAUGUUUUAUUUAUUUUAUUCUGAAUUGUAAAUAUAUUUAUAUUUUACUCUGUCAAUAUUUAUUGGGCUUGUUUCAAAUACAAAUUUUACUUAUAUAACCGCCGUUAAAGGAAGAAGCGGCUCUGCAAAUCUAAGGCUGUGUUUGAAUUAACUUCAUAACCUAAAGGUAGAAGGAAUCACUCAUAAAGUAUAAUUAAAAAUAAUAAACAAUUAAAAAAAUUUAAUUAAAUUAACCUUGGAAUAAGUAUUAGACAAAUUAAAAGAAAAUAGACUGCGUUUGUUCUUUAGGAGAAAUGCAGGAAUCUUUGAAGCUUGGCAGUCCCUCUAUUCUGUUGGUCUGUCUCUUGCUUGCGAAGUAAAAUUAAAAUAUAUUUUAGAUUUUAUAAAUUUAUAAAAUUGUUAUUAAAUAACACUACCGUACCCUAAACCGACACAGGUUCGUAGGUAGAGUAUACUAAGGCGUAGAGCUAAAAGUUGUUAAGGAACUCGGCAAGAAUACCUCAUAAGUUUUACAAGAAGAGGUGCCUACUGUUUUUUAAAAUUUUUAUUUAAUUUAUUCGGAAUUAUUUAUAAAUUUUUAGAAUGGUAUGGUGACAGAAAAUCGGAGGCCACGACUGUUUACUAAAAACACAGAUCAAUGCAAAGAUGAAAAUCAUAGUAUAUUGGUCGAAAUUUGCUCGAUGCCAUUAAUAUAAAAGAGGUCAUUGAAAAUGUGACUGAUUGAAAGUCUGGUUAAUAGCGGUCUGGAUAAGGCCGUGUGGAUUACUGAACAAAACUAUUUUAGGAAUGCAGUAAAUACACUAAUCACUAUAUGCUAGAAUCCCUUCCGUAUUAAAAAAAAUUAAUAGUACAAUUUUAGCAUUGUGAGAAAAAUAUAAUAAUAAAUAUAUAAUAUUAUUUUAAAAGUUUAAAUUCGUUAAUUAAGAAAUAGAACAUUUCUAGAUAGGCUGCAAAUGUAAAUAUCGUGAGAUAUGAUUUAUAAUAAAAAAUAAAUUAAAUUAAAGUUAAAAAAAUUUUUUUAAGUUUAGCAGUACUAAUUUAUAAAUAAACUUGAUGUUAAAGAUUGUCAUAUUUAUCUUAUUAUUGUCAACUGUCAAAAUGGUAAAAAAGGCCUAUCUUUAAAGAACUGUGGAAAAGUUUUUUUUUUGAGAGAAGGCUGCCAAUUAA
rnacentral:rRNA from 1 species